GGCAGCAGUGGGGAUUUUGCACAAUGGGGGCAGUCCGUGAUCCAGCCAUCCCGCGUGUGCGAUGAAGGCCUUCGGGUUGUAAGAGCACUUUUGGCAGGAAAGAAACGUUCCGGGUUAAUACCCCGGGCAAACUGACGGUACCUGCAGAAUAAGCACCGGCUAACUACGUGCCAGCAGCCGCGGUAAUACGUAGGGUGCAAGCGUUAAUCGGAAUUACUGGGCGUAAAGCGUGCGCAGGCGGUUCGGAAAGUAAAGAUGUGAAAUCCCAGAGCUUAACUUUGGAACUGCAUUUUAACUACCGAUGCUAGAGUGUGUCAGAGGGAGGUGGAAUUCCGCGUGUAGCAGUGAAAUGCGUAGAUAUGCGGAGGAACACCGAUGGCGAAGGCAGCCUCCUGGGAUAACACUGACGCUCAUGCACGAGAAGCGUGGGGAGCAAACAGGAUUAGAUACCCUGGUAGUCCACGCCCUAAACGAUGUCAGACUAGCUGUUGGGGCCUUCGGGCCUUGGUAGCGCAGCUAACGCAGUGAAGCUAUGACCGCCUGGGGAG
rnacentral:rRNA from 1 species